AUUGAACGCUGGCGGCGUGCCUAAUACAUGCAAGUCGAACGGUGAAAGCUUUCGGGUGAGUACUAGUGGCGCACGGGUGAGUAACGCGUGGAUAAUCUGCCUCAGAGUGGGGGAUAACUAGUCGAAAGAUUAGCUAAUACCGCAUAAGACCACAAGAACUGCGGUUCAAGGGGUCAAAGGUUUUUCGCUCUAAGAUGAGUCCGCGUAAGAUUAGCUAGUUGGUAGGGUAACGGCCUACCAAGGCGACGAUCUUUAACUGGUCUGAGAGGAUGAUCAGUCACACUGGAACUGAGACACGGUCCAGACUCCUACGGGAGGCAGCAGUAGGGAAUAUUGCACAAUGGAGGAAACUCUGAUGCAGCGACGCCGCGUGAGUGAUGAAGGCCUUCGGGUCGUAAAGCUCUGUCGCAGGGGAAUAACACAAUGAAGGUACCCUGUAAGAAAGGAUCGGCUAACUUCGUGCCAGCCGCCGCCGUAAGAC
rnacentral:rRNA from 1 species